GGUCUUAUGAUUUGCAAUAUAAGAUUUGGCCUGCUCUAUGUUGAAUAAAUGGCCGCGGUAUAUUGACCGUGCGAAGGUAGCAUAAUAAUUAGGCUAUUAAUUGUGGUCUUGUAUGAAAGGUUGGACGAGGGAAGUACUUUCUUAUUUUCAAAGUUGAAUUUAAAUAAUUAGUAAAAAUGCUAAUAUAUUAUAAAAAGACGAGAAGACCCUGUUGAGUUUUAUAUUUAUUUUAUUUAUUAUAUUUAAUUGGGGCGAUGGUUUAUAAACAAUCUAUGUAAUUGAUCCAUUAUUAGUGAUUAAUAGAAUAAAUUACCACAGGGAUAACAGCAUAAUUUGAUUGGAGAGUUCUUAUUGAUAUUCAAGUUUGUGACCUCGAUGUUGGAUUAAGAUUCCUUUUAGGUGCAGGUGCUUAAAAAGGUAGACUGUUCGUCUAUUAAAUUCUUACA
rnacentral:rRNA from 1 species